rnacentral:rRNA from 1 species
GACGAACGCUGGCGGCGUGCUUAAUACAUGCAAGUCGAACGGUUCUUUCCUCCCUAGGUCUUGUGCUCAAUUGGCAAGAGGAGUGGCGGACGGGUGAGUAACACGUCGUUAACCUACCCAUCCUUGAGGAAUAUCACUCGGAAACCGGUUCUAAUACCGUACAACAGGUUAUGCCUCAUGGCAUCAGAGUGAUAGGCGAUUUCGGGUGUCGCUGAUGGAUUGAUCCGGGGGGCGUUAGUUAGUUGGUAGGGUAACGGCUCACCCAGGCCACGAGUCGUAGACGACCUGAGAGGGUGAUCGGCCACCUGGGGACUGGGACACGCCCCAGAGUACUACGGGAGGCAGCAGUAGGGAGUGUUCGGCAAUAGACGAAAAUAUGACAGAACGAGGCCACGUGAGUGAAGGAGGCUUUCGGAUCGUAAUACUCUGUUGUUAGAGAAGAACAAGUACGUUAGUAGAUGAACGUCGAGUGACGGUAACUAAUAAAAAAGCAACGGCUAACUACGUG